GGAUAACAUGCCCUAGGGUGGGGGAUAAUCUCGGGAAAACUGAGGGUAAUACCCCAUAGGUCUGAUCUGCUGGAAUGCUUUCAGGCCGAAAACUCCGGUGCCCUAGGAUUGGUCUACGGUCUAUCAGGCCGUAGUGGGUGUAACGGACCCACUAGCCCGUGACGGAUAUGGGCCUUGAGAGAGGGAGCCCAGAGAUGGACUCUGAGACAUGAAUCCAGGCCCUACGGGGCGCAGCAGGCGCGAAAACUUUACAAUGCGGGAAACCGUGAUAAGGGGACACCGAGUGUCAGCGUCAUACGCUGGCUGUCCAGGUGUGUAAAAUACACCUGUUAGCAAGGGCCGGGCAAGACCGGUGCCAGCCGCCGCGGUAACACCGGCGGCCCGAGUGGUGAUCGUGAUUAUUGGGUCUAAAGGGUCCGUAGCCUGUUUGGUCAGUCCUCCGGGAAAUCUGACAGCUCAACUGUUAGGCUUUCGGAGGAUACUGCCAGACUUGGAACCGGGAGAGGUAAGAGGUACUACAGGGGUAGGAGUGAAAUCUUGUAAUCCCUGUGAGACCACCUGUGGCGAAGGCGUCUUACCAGAACGGGUUCGACGGUGAGGGACGAAAGCUGGGGGCACGAACCGGAUUAGAUACCCGGGUAGUCCCAGCCGUAAACGAUGCCCGCUAGGUGUCAGGCAUGGCGCGACCGUGUCUGGUGCCGCAGGGAAGCCGUGAAGCGAGCCACCUGGGAAGUACGGCCGCAAGGCUGAAACUUAA
rnacentral:rRNA from 1 species